UGGGGGAUCGUCUAGUGGUAGGACGACAGUCUCUGAAUCUGUCUACGGAGGUUCGAUCCCUCCUCCCCCAGCCA
rnacentral:tRNA from 1 species